AUGCGGGCGGUCGCGAUGCCUUCCGCCUCCCUGCCCCUCCUCUCCCCGCGGCACCGGCCGCUGCUGCGCCCGUCGACCCUCCCGGCCUCCCGCCUCGGCAGCGGGCUCCGUCCACGCCGCGACCGCGCCGAGAGCACCCGCCUCCGCGUGGCCGCGCCGACGUCGGUCCCCGGGGAGGCGGAGCGGGCGGAGGAGCCGAGCACGAGCGCGUCCUCGCCGCCGGAGUCCUCGGGGGAGAAGUUCGUAUGGCGGGACCACUGGUACCCGGUCUCGCUCGUGGAGGACCUGGACCCGCGCGUGCCCACCCCGUUCCAGCUCCUCAACCGCGACCUCGUCCUCUGGAACGACCCCAACUCCGGCGACUGGGUCGCGCUCGACGACCGCUGCCCGCACCGCCUCGCCCCGCUCUCGGAGGGCAGGAUCGACGAGACGGGCGGCCUGCAGUGCUCCUACCACGGCUGGUCCUUCGACGGCUCCGGCGCCUGCACCAGGAUCCCGCAGGCCGCGCCCGAGGGGCCCGAGGCCCGGGCGGUGCGCUCGCCCAGGGCCUGCGCCACCAAGUUCCCCACGCUCCUCUCCCAGGGGCUGCUCUUCGUCUGGCCCGACGAGAAUGGCUGGGACAGGGCCAAGGCCACCAAGCCUCCAAUGCUGCCGAAGGAGUUCGAUGACCCGGCCUUCUCCACCGUGACGAUCCAGAGGGACCUCUUCUAUGGGUAUGACACGUUGAUGGAGAACGUCUCCGAUCCCUCGCACAUAGAGUUUGCUCACCACAAGGUCACUGGACGAAGAGAUAGAGCCAAGCCUUUGCCAUUCAAAAUGGAAUCAAGUGGCGCAUGGGGAUAUUCAGGGGCAAAUGCCGGUAAUCCUCGCAUCACUGCAACAUUCGAGGCCCCUUGCUAUGCGCUGAACAAAAUAGAGAUUGACACCAAAUUACCGAUUGUGGGAGAUCAGAAGUGGGUCAUAUGGAUUUGCUCCUUCAACAUUCCAAUGGCCCCAGGAAAAACUCGUUCUAUUGUCUGUAGUGCUCGAAACUUUUUCCAGUUUACAAUGCCAGGAAAGGCAUGGUGGCAGCUUGUCCCUCGAUGGUACGAACAUUGGACCUCAAAUUUGGUCUAUGACGGCGAUAUGAUUGUGCUUCAAGGCCAAGAGAAGGUUUUCCUGUCUGCAUCCAAGGAGUCGUCUGCAGAUGUUAAUCAGCAGUACACAAAGCUCACUUUCACGCCCACACAGGCCGACCGAUUUGUCUUGGCAUUCCGGGCAUGGCUAAGGAAAUUCGGCAAUAGCCAGCCUGACUGGUACGGAAGCCCUAGCCAAGAUGCAUUACCUUCUACGGUCCUUUCAAAGCGAGAGAUGCUAGACAGAUACGAGCAGCACACGCUGAAAUGCUCGUCCUGCAGAGGAGCGCACAAGGCCUUCCAGACUCUGCAGAAGGUGUUCAUGGGGGCGACGGUCGUGUUCGGUGCGACCGCCGGGAUCCCUGCGGAUGUUCAGUUCAGGAUAUUGCUUGGCGCCGCUGCUCUGAUCAGUGCCGCUCUGGCCUACGCCUUCUACGACCGGCAGAAGCAUUUCGUGUUUGUAGACUAUGUACAUGCUGACAUUGAUUGA
rnacentral:rRNA from 1 species